rnacentral:rRNA from 1 species
CCUACGGGGGGCAGCAGUGAGGAAUAUUGGUCAAUGGGCGAGAGUCUGAACCAGCCAAGUAGCGUGAAGGAUGACUGCCCUAUGGGUUGUAAACUUCUUUUAUAAAGGAAUAAAGCGAGGCACGUGUGCCUUUUUGCAUGUACUUUAUGAAUAAGGAUCGGCUAACUCCGUGCCAGCAGCCGCGGUAAUACGGAGGAUCCGAGCGUUAUCCGGAUUUAUUGGGUUUAAAGGGAGCGUAGAUGGGUUGUUAAGUCAGUUGUGAAAGUUUGCGGCUCAACCGUAAAAUUGCAAUUGAUACUGGCAGUCUUGAGUACAGUUGAGGUAGGCGGAAUUCGUGGUGUAGCGGUGAAAUGCUUAGAUAUCACGAAGAACCCCGAUUGCGAAGGCAGCUCACUAAACUGUGACUGACACUGAUGCUCGAAAGUGUGGGUAUCAAACAGGAUUAGAUACCCCAGUAGUC